UACGAAGGGAGCUAGCGUUGUUCGGAAUCACUGGGCGUAAAGCGCACGUAGGCGGCUUUCUAAGUCGGUGGUGAGAUCCUGGAGCUCAACUCCAGAACUGCCUCCGAUACUGGAGAGCUCGAGUCCGGGAGAGGUGAGUGGAACUGCGAGUGUAGAGGUGAAAUUCGUAGAUAUUCGCAAGAACACCAGUGGCGAAGGCGGCUCACUGGCCCGGUACUGACGCUGAGGUGCGAAAGCGUGGGGAGCAAACAGG
rnacentral:rRNA from 1 species